CUCCUGGAAACGGGUGGUAAUGCCGGAUGUUCCAGUUGAUCGCAUGGUCUUCUGGGAAAGCUUUCGCGGUAUGGGAUGGGGUCGCGUCCUAUCAGCUUGACGGCGGGGUAACGGCCCACCGUGGCUUCGACGGGUAGCCGGCCUGAGAGGGUGACCGGCCACAUUGGGACUGAGAUACGGCCCAGACUCCUACGGGAGGCAGCAGUGGGGAAUAUUGCACAAUGGGCGCAAGCCUGAUGCAGCGACGCCGCGUGAGGGAUGGAGGCCUUCGGGUUGUAAACCUCUUUUAUCGGGGAGCAAGCGUGAGUGAGUUUACCCGUUGAAUAAGCACCGGCUAACUACGUGCCAGCAGCCGCGGUAAUACGUAGGGUGCAAGCGUUAUCCGGAAUUAUUGGGCGUAAAGGGCUCGUAGGCGGUUCGUCGCGUCCGGUGUGAAAGUCCAUCGCUUAACGGUGGAUCCGCGCCGGGUACGGGCGGGCUUGAGUGCGGUAGGGGAGGCUGGAAUUCCCGGUGUAACGGUGGAAUGUGUAGAUAUCGGGAAGAACACC
rnacentral:rRNA from 1 species